rnacentral:rRNA from 1 species
GACGAACGCUGGCGGCGCGCCUAACACAUGCAAGUCGAACGAGCGAGAGGAGGUUUACUUUCUCAAGCGAGUGGCGAACGGGUGAGUAACGCGUGAGGAACCUGCCUCAAAGAGGGGGACAACAGUUGGAAACGACUGCUAAUACCGCAUAAGCCCACGACCCGGCAUCGGGUAGAGGGAAAAGGAGCAAUCCGCUUUGAGAUGGCCUCGCGUCCGAUUAGCUAGUUGGUGAGGUAAUGGCCCACCAAGGCGACGAUCGGUAGCCGGACUGGGAGGUUGAACGGCCACAUUGGGACUGAGACACGGCCCAGACUCCUACGGGAGGCAGCAGUGGGGAAUAUUGCACAAUGGGGGAAACCCUGAUGCAGCGACGCCGCGUGGAGGAAGAAGGUCUUCGGAUUGUAAACUCCUGUUGUUGAGGAAGAUAAUGACGGUACUCAACAAGGAAGUGACGGCUAACUACGUG